rnacentral:tRNA from 1 species
GGCUUCAUAGCUCAGUUGGUAGAGCAUCCCACUGGUAUCGCGGAGGUCAUGGGUUCGAAUCCCGUUGAAGCCG